AAAGUCGUAACAAGGUUUCCGUAGGUGAACCUGCGGAAGGAUCAUUAGCAAGAUUGCGCGUGUGAUUCUCUCUAGGGGGAUAGCACGGGCAAGUAUGCCAUCCUUGUGUUAUGUUUCCUGUGUUGUUAGUGCGCGCUCGUACGCAAGUGUGUGUGCGCACUCUCACUCUUUUAAUACCCAUUUUUCAUCUACCUUUCUUAACCUCUUUUUGCUUGGAAACAAGCAUCAAAAAACAAUCGAAAACUGCCAGCAAUGGAUCACUCGGUUCUC
rnacentral:misc_RNA from 1 species